AAUUACUUUAUGCUGCUCCGGCAUGCUUUGUCAGUAGACUUCAUCCCACGACCAUAGUACCAACCGCCUUCAAUCAAAUUCCUUUCAUCACGUUCCCAUUUAGACAUUUUGGUAUUCAUGUCUUUAGGAUCUAAAUCUAGUAAUGUUAUGUGAUCUUUACCAAUGUAUAAAGUCACAUCUCGAAGGGUCAUCGCUAACGCAACAUCAGUACGAGAGUAUUGCUCUUGUAGGUCACGAAGCUUCCGUAGUAUACCAGACUGAAACAAUCUCAUUGCGAUAUCAGGACUCACAAAUCCUUGAAGACAGCACAAAAACUUGGGCCAAUUGUUGAAAUCAAGCUGUAGAGGACAAAAACCAACGGGUCUACCACGCAUACGGCUAAGGGCACACGUUCGACAAACAACCCAGUCAGG